rnacentral:miRNA from 1 species
CAGCUAACAUGCAACUGCUAUC